rnacentral:rRNA from 1 species
CCGUCUUGAAACACGGACCAAGGAGUCUAGCAUGUGCGCGAGUCAUUGGGAAUUUUUCAAACAUACAAUCAUAACUAAACCCAUAGGCGCAACGAAAGUGAAAGCCGAGGCCUCGACUUCGGCGCAGGGAAGACGCGGUCGGAUCGCGAUCCGAUCGUUGCACUCCCGAGGCGUUUCGAGAAAGUCUCCGUGCGAUUAUCGAAACGCACUGAGAGCGCACACGCUGGGACCCGAAAGAUGGUGAACUAUGCCUGGUCAGGUCGAA